rnacentral:lncRNA from 1 species
GGAAGCUCUCUAUGCUUAAUGCCUGCUAUCAUAUGAUGUCAUUUGGCUUAGAGGACAUAGGCUUCAGUGCCACCAAGUAUGUUGGUGCUGACUAGAAGACAUCCCAGUUUUAGUAGUAAUGGUGGGCACUUAGGAUUUUUGAUGUCACUUAUAUGGCCUGUUGUUUCCUGUAGCUGAAGCUCAGGAGAUGAGCUUCAGUUAGUUAGUCAUAGACAUCCACAGGGUGUGAGAAUUACCAGAGAGCAUCUGCUUGAGGUGAAGGUGAGUGGACCUAAUCGGGGAGGGAGGAGCUUUGGCAGGUUUGAGUUGGAGUCCUGCUGUGUGUGAGAAACUAGGUGACUCCAGCACUUAACCUCCCUCAUGAGAGAAGAUAGGUGACCUAGCUAGGGGUUUUGUUUUUGUUUUAUAGGAAAUAGUGAUAGUGAAUACUAAGUUCAUGGAAUAAGUAAAGCUGUCAAACAUUUUUUUAAAGUGAACCUGUUCAUACUUGGGUGCCAGCAAGAUAUUCGGGAGUCACUUACCUAAGUGAACCUCGAUUCUCUGGAAACAUUUAGAGAAGUCUUCUCCACUUGUUGGUCCCAAACACCCUCAAAGACAUGGGUUUACUACACCUAAUUAUUAGGUGGCAUUUUCAAGGCCCCCUAGUGGUAUAGACAGGGUGCCAGCUCAGGUCAGUCAGUAGUGGCUACCUCACAGACUAUCUUCCUCCACAAGAUAUGAUUAGCCCUGAAUCCACAAAUCACCCUCACGAGUCUUAGACGUAUCCUUUAGUUAAAGCUGAUAGCUGUGGCUUCCAGUGUGC